CCUCCUUAACUUGAGCGCAAGAAGUUGGCAAGUGCUCACACGAAUUACUUAGAUCUCAAUUGAUUGAAAGCGAUAAUUUCACGGGCCACUGGGUUACGUGAUAAAGCCCUCUGCAUGAGAAUGCAGAAUUGCUUGGUUCAGCUGUUGAUUGGCUGGAUAUGCAAGAUUGGGUCUGUAGCUCAGGUGGUUAGAGCGCACCCCUGAUAAGGGUGAGGUCGGAGGUUCAAGUCCUCCCAGACCCACCACUAUCUCGCGGCAGUUACUGAAAAGUAAGCGGGGUUAGAGUUGGGCAUUGACAUGGGGCUAUAGCUCAGCUGGGGAGAGCGCCUGCCUUGCACGCAGAAGGUCUGCGGUUCGAUCCCGGCAUAGCUCCACCACUUCCCACUUUUGGGAAAGGGUGACCAGAUUAUCCCCAAGAAGUUCAGAAAGAAAAGCUUUGGCAUUGGUAUNUGAAGAAUUUUUGGUUUCCUGGUUUUUUAACAAAUCAAAUUGUUCUUUUAA
rnacentral:misc_RNA from 1 species